rnacentral:lncRNA from 1 species
UUCAUCUCACGAAUCUAAUGCAAGUUCCCCUGUAGUUGAUGAAAAUGAACUACAGAGCAUUGUACAGUCUAAUGCAAGCUCUCCUGCAGUUGAUGAAAAUGACCAAGAGAGCAUUGCACAAUCUAAUGCAAGUUCUCCUGUACUUUAUGAAAAUGAACAAGAGAGCAUUGUACAAUUUAAUGCAAGUUCUCCUGUAGUUGAUGAAAAUGAACAAGAGAGCAUUGUACAAUCUAAUGCAAGUUGUCCCGCGGUUGACGAAAAUGAACAAG